GGAGAAGGAUGUCCAAAUGAAGUGCUUUUGACUCGAAUGCACAAAUGAGCGCUAGAGUCACUGGUGCAAGCCAACGGCAGAAGAGCUGAACAAAAUACUGACAGGAACUAGCUCAGGAACGAGAACCUGACAUAUACCCCGAUUUAAAUCAGAAGCUACACAGGAAAAACAAAAAGAUGAAUAAUCAGUAAACACAGAACAGGAAGGUGUCCCAGAUAUCUGUGACAAUGGACUUCAUGCACUCAACACCCACAGCUUUGUUUACAUAGCAGGAGACGG